UAAUCCAUCUGUAUACCACAAUACAGCCUGCAUCACAGACCACAAGGCAAGUAUAAUUACAUUCUGUCUCUGGUUAGCAUGAGACUUUGAACGUGUUCUUUCCAUUCUUUUUUUUUUUUUUCCAAAUGUUUAUACCAACAAAGUAAACCUGACAAACGAUUCAAGCCUUCUGGACAAGUAAAAUCAGAUUUUCAAGGAAUUGAAUGUUCCAGAAAUUAAAUUUUUUUGAGGAAGCGAAAUUGAUUUCUCCCAUAAGUUAGGACUUGCCUUUUUAUCAUGGCCAGCAGUAGCAAG
rnacentral:misc_RNA from 1 species